rnacentral:rRNA from 1 species
AACGAACGCUGGCGGCAGGCCUAACACAUGCAAGUCGAGCGCCCCGCAAGGGGAGCGGCGGACGGGUGAGUAACGCGUGGGAAUAUGCCCUUUGCUACGGAAUAGUCUCGGGAAACUGGGGGUAAUACCGUAUACGCCCUUUGGGGGAAAGAGUUAUCGGCGAAGGAUUAGCCCGCGUUGGAUUAGGUAGUUGGUGGGGUAAUGGCCUACCAAGCCGACGAUCCAUAGCUGGUUUGAGAGGAUGAUCAGCCACACUGGGACUGAGACACGGCCCAGACUCCUACGGGAGGCAGCAGUGGGGAAUCUGAGACAAUGGGGGCAACCCUGAUCUAGCCAUGCCGCGUGAGUGAUGAAGGCCUUAGGGUUGUAAAGCUCUUUCAGCUGGGAAGAUAAUGACGGUACCAGCAGAAGAAGCCCCGGCGAACUCCGG